rnacentral:rRNA from 1 species
AACGAACGCUGGCGGCGUGGAUAAGACAUGCAAGUCGAACGGGAUUUUUUUCUGUAGCAAUACAGGAAAAAGUCUAGUGGCGAACGGGUGCGUAACACGUGAGCAACCUGCCGUGAAGUGGGGGAUAGCUCGCCGAAAGGCGAAUUAAUACCGCAUGUGGCCAAGGAAGACAUCUUCCUGACGCCAAAGCCGGGGCAACCUGGCGCUUCUCGAGGGGCUCGCGGCCUAUCAGCUUGUUGGUGAGGUAACGGCUCACCAAGGCUAUGACCGGUAGCUGGUCUGAGAGGACGACCAGACACACUGGAACUGAGACACGGUCCAGACACCUACGGGUGGCAGCAGUCGAGAAUUUUUCACAAUGGGGGAAACCCUGAUGGGGCGACGCCGCGUGGAGGAUGAAGGUUUUCGGAUUGUAAACUCCUGUCAUUAGAGAACAAGGCACACGGUUUAACUGGCCGUGUGUUGAUAGUAUCUGAAGAGGAAGAGACGGCUAACUCUGUGCCAGCAGCAGCAGUAA